rnacentral:rRNA from 1 species
AUUGAACGCUGGCGGCAUGCCUUACACAUGCAAGUCGAACGGCAGCACGGGGCAACCUGGUGGCGAGUGGCGAACGGGUGAGUAAUGCAUCGGAACGUACCUUUCAGUGGGGGAUAACGUAGCGAAAGUUACGCUAAUACCGCAUAUUCGGUGAGCAGGAAAGCAGGGGAUCGCAAGACCUUGCGCUGAUUGAGCGGCCGAUGUCAGAUUAGGUAGUUGGUGAGGUAAAGGCUCACCAAGGCGACGAUCUGUAGCGGGUCUGAGAGGAGGAUCCGCCACACUGGAACUGAGACACAGUCCAGUCUCCUACGGGAGGCAGCAGUGGGGAAUUUUGGACAAUGGGGGCAACCCUGAUCCAGCCAUGCCGCGUGAGUGAAGAAGGCCUUCGGGUUGUAAAGCUCUUUCGGCCGGGAAGAAAUCGCACGGGCUAAUACCCUGUGUGGAUGACGGUACCGGAAUAAGAAGCACCGGCUAACUACGUGCCAGCAGCCGCAGUAACAC